GUAUUCUCUUUGGCAGUACAUACAGUAAAAUUGGAACAAGACAAAGAAGAUUAGUAUGGUACCUGUGCAAGGAUGAAAAACAAAUUCAUCCUUAUUUUU
rnacentral:snRNA from 1 species